rnacentral:tRNA from 1 species
GUCACGAUGGCCGAGUGGUUAAGGCGUUGGACUCGAAAUCCAAUGGGAUCUUCCCGCGCAGGUUCGAACCCUGCUCGUGACG